GACGAACGCCGGCGGCGUGCCUAAUACAUGCAAGUUGAGCGAUGAAGAUUGGUGCUUGCACCAAUUUGAAGAGCAGCGAACGGGUGAGUAACGCGUGGGGAAUCUGCCUUUGAGCGGGGGACAACAUUUGGAAACGAAUGCUAAUACCGCAUAACAACUUUAAACAUAAGUUUUAAGUUUGAAAGAUGCAAUUGCAUCACUCAAAGAUGAUCCCGCGUUGUAUUAGCUAGUUGGUGAGGUAAAGGCUCACCAAGGCGAUGAUACAUAGCCGACCUGAGAGGGUGAUCGGCCACAUUGGGACUGAGACACGGCCCAAACUCCUACGGGAGGCAGCAGUAGGGAAUCUUCGGCAAUGGACGAAAGUCUGACCGAGCAACGCCGCGUGAGUGAAGAAGGUUUUCGGAUCGUAAAACUCUGUUGGUAGAGAAGAACGUUGGUGAGAGUGGAAAGCUCAUCAAGUGACGGUAACUACCCAGAAAGGGACGGCUAACUACGUG
rnacentral:rRNA from 1 species